rnacentral:snRNA from 1 species
AUCGCUUCUCGGCCUUUUGGCUAAGAUCAAGUGUAGAUAUAUUAAUUCUAAGGAGCACAAAAAUUGGUAAAAGAUUUGAUCUAGCCUCCACACAUCCUCUAGAGGUCUUUUCAUUUGUUUUUCCAUUUUGCAGAUUUCGAAGGGGAAUGAUGAUACAUAUU